rnacentral:rRNA from 1 species
UAAAACCCAAAGGACUUGGCGGUGCCCAGACCCUCCUAGAGGAGCCUGUUCUAGAACCGAUAAUCCCCGUUAAACCUCACCACUUCUUGUCAUUCCGCCUAUAUACCGCCGUCGUCAGCUUACCCUGUGAAGACCAAUAGUAGCAAAAAUGGGCACACCCAAAAACGUCAGGUCGAGGUGUAGC